rnacentral:tRNA from 1 species
GGGGCAUUGGUGUAGUGGUUAUCAUCGCGAGUUCGGAGCUCGUUGACCCUGGUUCGAUUCCAGGAUGCCCCC